rnacentral:lncRNA from 1 species
GUUGCUUCAUAAAUGGUGAAAUCUCUCAAAAUUAAAUGAUAGAAUUUCAAGUUUCCGGAGCAUAUAUUUAGUGUUAUAUAUCACCAGUAUUAAACAGCUCGAUGUGUAUACAAUUGCAUCGGCGUUACCUGUCUCCUGGCACAUUUCUUCACUUUUACGAAAGGAUUUAUUUGAUUCUUAGGUAUUUUUUGUUCUGAUUUUGUGCAAAUAUUUGAUAUUUAGGUAUUUAGGUUGCUUUAUAUUUUUAACUAAUUAGCUGAUUUUGCAUCGGAAUAGUCAAUGAUUAAGCUUUAUUUAUACUCCAAUUUUCGAAAACUUUGGAUUCUGAAGGUGUAGAUCUGUAGAAAUUUUAGUAGAAAGUUGUAGGUGAUGGAUGUGAUGAUUAUUUCCCCAGAUGAUCGAAUCUGAAAUUACUGAGCGCUCACUUUAUGUUUCUCCUUUUCGAGAACUUCAAGCCAGAAAUCUGAUCCAUCUUCAAAAAUGUAUUUUGAUUAGUUUUUAUUUUAUUAUUUUUUGUUAUCUGUUUUGAUAGUUAGAGAGUGGAAAUGAUGAUUAUUUCCCCAGAUGAUCGAAGUUGAUUAUACUGAGCGCAUUUAAUUAUAAUAUUCUCUAUUAUAUUAUAGAGAAUCCAAGCCAGAAAUCUGAUCCUAUCUCUGUUUUUCUUGAUUAAAAUUCGAGUUCCUCUGAUGAUGAUUCAAAUAAAAACUUUCGUUCUUCCGAGGAUGAUAUAUGUCCAUGCGGAAACGAUUAUUGGAGACCUGAACUGAAGAGGC